rnacentral:lncRNA from 1 species
CGAUGGUGGUGAUAUUAUCUCUAAUGAAGAAAAAAAAGAUAUAUUUUAUUUAAAAAAUAAUUAAAAAAGUAUAAAUUUAUGUUUUGUUUAAAAUUAUUUUUUUUAGCUGCAGUAGUUAAAAUUACAGUCAAUUUGAGUACAGUUUCAAUCACUACAUGCAGUUGAAUACUUUUCUGAAGUUUCAAGUACAGCAGCUAAACUUAAAUGCAUCAAACAAAAUAAAGUUCAAAACAGAACGUGAAGUAACUAAUUCUUAUUUCUACAGAAAUAUAGCAAAAUUAUAUAUUUAACUUUAACUGCUGCAGUAAAAACUGUAGGAGGAGGUUUAACUGCGCAGUUGGAGAGAGUAACUUUAAACAAAAGGUAAACUUACCUCUUUAAUUAUCUUUUAAAUAAAAAAUAUUUUUUUAUAAUUGGGGGUAAUCUCACCAUCAUAUAUAUAUAAUCAUAAAAUUUUAAAAAUUAUUUCUCAAUUGUAUGCAACCAAACAAAUUAUUUAUAGUUACAGCGCUUUCUACUACAUUCAACCAAAUAGAAUAUAUGUAAUUAUAAUUUCUGUAUUUUCAACUGUAUUCAUCUCCAACUAUACUGUAUUUAUAAUUAUAUAUAU